UACAGAGGGUGCAAGCGUUAAUCGGAUUUACUGGGCGUAAAGCGCGCGUAGGUGGCCAAUUAAGUCAAAUGUGAAAUCCCCGAGCUUAACUUGGGAAUUGCAUUCGAUACUGGUUGGCUAGAGUAUGGGAGAGGAUGGUAGAAUUCCAGGUGUAGCGGUGAAAUGCGUAGAGAUCUGGAGGAAUACCGAUGGCGAAGGCAGCCAUCUGGCCUAAUACUGACGCUGAGGUACGAAAGCAUGGGGAGCAAACAGG
rnacentral:rRNA from 1 species